rnacentral:rRNA from 1 species
GUCACUACGUGGCCAGGUGCUGCGGGGGGCUGUAGGGUGGGGGGGGUUAUGGGAAUUGGCGGGAGGCAAGCGGGGGCAGGCGGGUUGGGAAGGCGUGGGGGAAAGCCCCGGGCUUAACCGGGGAACGGCUGUUGUGGCUGCCAGGCUAGAGUACGGGGGAGGGGGGUGGAAGUCCACGUGUAGCAGUGAAAGGCGUAGAGAUGUGGAGGAACACCAAUGGCGAAGGCAGCCCCCUGGGUCGAUACUGACGCUCAUGCACGAAAGCGUGGGUAGCAAACAGGAUUAGAUACCCGUGUAGUC